rnacentral:rRNA from 1 species
GAUGAACGCUAGCUACAGGCUUAACACAUGCAAGUCGAGGGGCAUCAGUUUGGUUUGCUUGCAAACCAAAGCUGGCGACCGGCGCACGGGUGAGUAACACGUAUCCAACCUGCCUCAUACUCGGGGAUAGCCUUUCGAAAGAAAGAUUAAUAUCCGAUAGCAUAUAUUUCCCGCAUGGGUUUUAUAUUAAAGAAAUUCGGUAUGAGAUGGGGAUGCGUUCCAUUAGUUUGUUGGGGGGGUAACGGCCCGACCAAGACUACGAUGGAUAGGGGUUCUGAGAGGAAGGUCCCCCACAUUGGAACUGAGACACGGUCCAAAACUCCUACGGGAGGCAGCAGU